rnacentral:rRNA from 1 species
GAUGAACGCUGGCGGCGUGCCUAAUACAUGCAAGUCGAACGCACAGCGAAAGGUGCUUGCACCUUUCAAGUGAGUGGCGAACGGGUGAGUAACACGUGGAUAACCUACCUCAAGGUUGGGGAUAACAUUUGGAAACAGAUGCUAAUACCGAAUAAAACUUAGUAUCGCAUGAUACCAGGUUAAAAGGCGCUACGGCGUCACCUAGAGAUGGAUCCCGCGGUGCAUUAGUUAGUUGGUGGGUAAAGGCUUACCAAGACAAUGAUGCAUAGCCGAGUUGAGAGACUGAUCGGCCACAUUGGGACUGAGACACGGCCCAAACUCCUACGGGAGGCUGCAGUAGGGAAUCUUCCACAAUGGGCGAAAGCCUGAUGGAGCAACGCCGCGUGUGUGAUGAAGGCUUUCGGGUCGUAAAGCACUGUUGUAUGGGAAGAACAGCUAGAGUAGGGAAUGACUUUAGUUUGACGGUACCAUACCAGAAAGGGAC